AAAGUAAUAUUUUUAUUAUUUCUAUUUUAAAAAUACAUGAGUUGUAUACGUUGUAGCGUAGGCUACAACAUAUUUGUUGUUGAACAACAAACUGUGUAAUUUGUAUGUGGGGUUUUAGCAUCACAGGACUUCAUAUGUUGCAUCAUGUUCCUGUGUGUUUCUUCAUAUUCUGAAUCUAUUUUUCAUUCAGGUGCUGUUUUGUCCUUUCAGAACGUACUCUCUAACCCAGUAUUGGAGCUGAUUGUGAGACCAGGAGAAAACGUUACUCUAUACUGUGACUGUAAUUCCUCAACUGGUGUUUAUAUCAUUUGGUUCAGAAAUUGUUCUCAUGAAAAUCAGCCAACAUUUGUAUUGGAAACCGUUGAAGCCAAUCCUAAAACGGAAAUUCAUUACUCAUAUAAAAGAAAAUAUUUACAUUAUAAUUUUAAAUGGAACAUAUCUACGAGCUCGUAUGAUUUACUGAUUAACAACAUCAGUGAAACUCACCUGGGACUAUACUACUGCGGAACUCGAGAAAAACUUCCUCUGGAUACAGGAUUAAUCAAAUUUGUCUACACAUAUGGAAAUUCAACCACAAGGAUUUUACUUGGUGUUGGGGACUCUGCUGCUCCAGACUGUGGACAGUGCUGGAUGCUGCUGGUCAUUCUAUGUCCGUCCUCUGCUCUUCUCCUCUCCCUCCUCUCAUCCUUGGUCGUCUACCUCCGCUGCAGAAGGAAAGAUGAAGACCUCCAUGUUGCUCAGACAUCACCCAGCAGUAGAGAUGUAACAUC